rnacentral:tRNA from 1 species
GGGCGUUUAGCUCAGCUGGUCAGAGCGCUGCCCUUACAAGGCAGAUGUCGGGAGUUCAAAUCUCUCAACGCCCA